UUUAAUAUAUCAUAUUGUAGAGGUUGACUGACAAAGCAACGAGUGGAUGAAUUUGUAAUGGAAAAAUAUAUUGAAACAAGUAUAAGUACACGUAUAGUGUAUGAAAUGAAAAUCAAAUAAAUUAUUAUCACUAUUUAUUAAUUUGAUAUAUGAUAUUGUCGAGGUUAAGUGACAGAGGGAUCAGUGGAUGAAGUGGAACAGGAAAGUAUAUUGAAAUAAGUAUAGGCAUAAGUAUAAGUACAGGUAUAGUGUAUGAGGUCAAAAUCAAAUAAAUUGUUACCAUUAUUUAUUAAUUUAAUAUGUCAUAUUGUAGAGGUUGUCUGACAAAGCAACGAGUGGAUGAAUUUGUAAUGGAAAAAUAUAUUGAAACAAGUAUAAGCAUAAGUAUAAGUACAGAGGUUGUCUGACAAAGCAACGAGUGGAUGAAUUUGUAAUGGAAAAAUAUAUUGAAACAAGUAUAAGUACACGUAUAGUGUAUGAAAUGAAAAUCAAAUAAAUUAUUAUCACUAUUUAUUAAUUUGAUAUAUGAUAUUGUCGAG
rnacentral:misc_RNA from 1 species